rfam:Myotis davidii contig5199, whole genome shotgun sequence.
GGCAGUUCUCAGGUGACGCACUCUGGAAACGGACUCCCUCCUCUCUGGUUCUGGGUGUAUCACUUGAGAACAGAA